UAGGAUAACCACACUAAAUUUCUUGC
rnacentral:piRNA from 1 species